GCCAGAUCGUCCCCAGCUUAGACUUAUCCGCUUCCUCUGAUGGUACUCAAAGCUUAGAUUGUCGACUUGUAUUCGAUCGAAGACAAGUGUUGCUCUCGUCUGUGGGAGUUAUAGCAACUUCCAUUUGUAAUGCUGGAAGGGCAUCAGCUGAAUUUGCUGACAUGCCUGCUUUGAGAGGAAAGGACUACGGGAAGACAAAGAUGCGGUAUCCUGACUAUACUGAAACUCAAUCAGGUCUCCAGUAUAAGGAUUUGAGAGUUGGAAGCGGUCCCACUCCAAAGAGCGGAGAUACAGUGGUGGUUGACUGGGAUGGUUACACAAUAGGUUAUUAUGGUCGCAUAUUUGAAGCUCGUAACAAGACGAAAGGUGGUUCUUUUGAGGGGGAUGACAAGGACUUCUUCAAAUUCAGAGUAGGAUCUCAAGAGGUCAUACCGGCAUUCGAGGAAGCUAUUACUGGGAUUGCACUUGGAGGUAUCAGAAGAAUCAUAGUUCCUCCGGAGCUGGGAUACCCCAAUUAUGACUAUGAUAAGAAAGGUCCAAGACCAACAACAUUUUCGGGACAAAGAGCUUUGAGUUUUGUGCUGAGGAACCAAGGAUUGAUUGACAAGACACUCCUAUUUGAUAUUGAACUCCUCAAAAUCAUACCAAAUUGAAGUUCCUUUUUGCUCAACUUUCGCCACGACAAGAUUUACUUCGGUAGGAUGAAAAGAGUAUCAAGACUGAUCAUUCCUUAUAGAGGUUUAAGAUGAAACACAUCAAUUUGUUGAAAGAUUGAUUUCGAAAAGCACUGUAGUAACAAUGAUAGGGUGU
rnacentral:misc_RNA from 1 species